AAUUGAUUUUUAAGGUGUGAUUUAAUUAUGGCAGCAAAGGAAAUUUAGGUGUGAGAACCGGUGUCUUGGAUUGGGAAAAAUCCAGCAAAAAUCAGGAACUAUAUACUUGAAUUGGUAGCAAAUUAGCAUCCCAAAAUUUUAAGAUAAGUAAUCAGUUUUAAGAUUUUGUUCAGUAUCUUGAAGUUGGCUACAAUAUAGGUAAUGGCAUCUCUAGACUUCCACUCAGAGUCGCUCCACUGCCUAGAGGUCAGUUUGUGUAUCAUAUAGUCUAGUUUGUAAGAAUCAAUAGUCACUGAAAAUGUGAUGACUAAAGUUUAAGGUCAUGUAAUAAUGUUUAUAUAUUAUGAUGAGUUGUAUAAAAUGAUCAAAUCUAGAUGUUUGUAACAAAUGGUUAUGUUUUAAUUAAUGUGAUUAUUGGGUUUGAAUGAUUUAUAGUGUUAA